GGGGUUAUGGCUCAGUGAUAUAGUGCUUGCCUAGCACGUAUGAGGCACUGGGUUUGAGCCUCAGUACCACA
rnacentral:tRNA from 1 species